rnacentral:rRNA from 1 species
AGCGAACGCUGGCGGCAGGCCUAACACAUGCAAGUCGAACGAACCUUUCGGGGUUAGUGGCGGACGGGUGAGUAACACGUGGGAACGUGCCUUUAGGUUCGGAAUAACUCAGGGAAACUUGUGCUAAUACCGAAUGUGCCCUUCGGGGGAAAGAUUAAUCGCCUUUAGAGCGGCCCGCGUCUGAUUAGCUAGUUGGUUGAGGUAAUGGCUCACCAAGGCGACGAUCAGUAGCUGGUCUGAGAGGAUGAUCAGCCACAUUGGGACUGAAACACGGCCCAAACUCCUACGGGAGGCAGCAGUGGGGAAUCUUGCGCAAUGGGCGAAAGCCUGACGCAGCCAUGCCGCGUGAAUGAUGAAGGUCUUAGGAUUGUAAAAUUCUUUCACCGGGGACGAUAAUGACGGUACCCGGAGAAGAAGCCCCGGCUAACUUCGUG